rnacentral:rRNA from 1 species
AUGAGGACUUCAUUGAUGGUCCUGGCCUCUCUCCUCCUCCUCCUGGUUCUGGUUACAACAGCACAUGGGAUUCGGCUGGACAGGCACCUGCAUGAAGCACUGGACAACAAGCAGGAACGACUGGCCGGGCAGCUAACCAAACCCAAUGGCGCCGCUGAUUCGGCAGGCAGCAAGCCCUGCACGGCCGAUGGGAAUUGCUCAGGAAAGGCGAAAAAGCCACCGUCGCCGCACGCUCACGCCGAAACGGACGACGACGCAUCAGCGAAGCAUCAGAUACCCCCGAAGAGGAACGACGGCAACGCGCAGGUGACCAGCCACGGUGGCGAUCAGGAGGAGCCGACGCUGCCGCAGAAGAAGAAAUGGUCCCGCCGGGCGCUUCCGCGGCGGCCAAAGCAGCAGGAGACGAGGACGUACCCGGACCUGAUCGACAUCGCCGGGAUGGACUACUCGCCGGCCGCCAGAAAGCCCCCCAUCCACAACUGA